GUGGUUUGUCUCUGCUGAGUCUGCAACAAGAAGUAAUUAGGGCAGAAGAGACUGGCGGGUGACGUCAUGGGCCUUGGUCUUUGAGGUCAGUGAACUUGUCCAUCCAUGAGCAGCUUCCCGAUAAACCUGCCUUUAAUAUAUAUAUUUGUUUGCUCUACAACAAAGAGAUUACUGGAAUGAAAACUUGAGACCAAAGUCUACCGUGAAGUCAAAUAAAGAAGAAGGACAUCAGGAGCCCUGUGUCCUUAGGGAUGAUUUUCAACCUGUGAAUGAUGAACUCUGCAAGGAACUACACGGGGUAAAGGCUCGCUGGGCUCAACAGCACAGGUUCUCUUCAUCACCGGCCCUCUGGUGUCCACCAGUCACACAGAGAGCAGCAAAUCCUUCGUCUGUAUAUGAUGAAUCCUCUAAAGGCCUGGGUAUGAGACUUUGUAGUGGAGUGGAAAGAAAGCUUAGGACCCAAGACACCACGGCUGAGGUCUCUAACCCUGGCUUUCUCUGCACUGGGAUCUCCAGGAUUUGUUCUAAAACCAACACUAUUAAUCCAUCAGGAGCAUGAUCUCUGACUGUGAACUCAACAUUCCUUGAAGAUCAAAGUUUUCUUAGAGGCAGAUGACCAGAAAACGUGUUUGGGAGACUUUCCCACACAGA